rnacentral:lncRNA from 1 species
AUGCCUCAGAAGAUCAGAGCAAAGAUGAAAGGAUGUCUGAAGAUAUAUGUUCUUGGGAGCAGAAUAAAGGACUGGAAUCGCAGCUUUAGAGAACACAACAAAUUGGCCAUCUUCGUUGUCUACCCUGGAGAAGACCUUGAGGUUCAUAUGGGCAAAUCUCCUCCUCUGCGAUGGACUCCUGUAAAUCGGGGGAGAGCUGCAGCUGGUCAACGUGUAAAAUGACAUACUGUCCGUAUAGAACGCGAUGUGCAAAGUACCAGUGUAACUUGACAUUCAAGGCACUUUAACACCUGUUUCCAUAGCUACACUGUAAUCCAGACAUUUGAGAGGCAGGCCUGCCUCUGCCAGGCCUGUCAUUUCAGAGAAAUAAAUUAAGAAAGCUGAUGACA